rnacentral:tRNA from 1 species
GGUGGCUCAAUGGUAGAGCGCUUGCCUUGCAUGCAUGAGACCCUGGGUUCAAUUCCUCAGCACCA